ensembl:piRNA 21ur-5068 ncRNA
UUAUAGAAGUCAUUUUGCUCA